GAAUUAAACAGCCAAUUAGAAGCUUCCCGGCGUCCUGGCGGACCACCUCUAGGCCAAUUACCGAGGAGUUUUCUACCUUCUAACCCACCGGGAAAAAGCGGCUGGGACCGAGGCGUGAGAGCGUUGAAUCACGCGUGUCACCGUUCUCACAAAAUUGGUGUCUUUGUACAACGACAGUGCCACAACAUAACUCAGUGACCAUCGGGAGAGCAGCCUCAUCAUGGGCGAUGCUCCGUCAGUUGUUUCUCUUGAGAUCUUUUGCGUAGCUCGGUCCUGCCCCGCAUGUGGCGACCGGGACUCAAGAGACACGGAAAACGUUUUCUGUUUUGGAAAACAUGAAAUACGCUUUGUAGAUGGCGAGGAGGUCAAGGGACAGGCGGUGCGCCGCAGAGAGCGAGGACCCACUCUUGUAUUCCUCUGCGGAGGAGGCACGGACACACCGUGUGGCCCGAAACAGCGGCAGGAGACACCCGAGCUCCGACCGCCGUGACGCUGUCCUGGUCCCUGGACCGUUGAGAUCGGUUGGGUCCUGCUACCGCCUCCGCGGGGCGGAGAGCCUCGCGAGCCCAGCCCUGCGCCCUGCUCUGUCCACCCUGUCCCCGCCCCGGGCUAGGGGCUCACCCUGGGGACAGGGGUCGGGCGCUCCUGGUCUUUGGGGGAUCUUCUGCACUAGUUUCCAUCACAAUACCUGGCACGAGAUGAGCAAUAAACGUUUGCUGAAAGAA